rnacentral:rRNA from 1 species
GCAGGGAAUCUUGCGCAAUGGGCUAAUAUAAGCCUGACGCAGCGACGCCGCGUGGGGGAUGAAGGCCUUCGGGUUGUAAACCCCUUUUCUCGGGGAAGAGUAAGGACGGUACCCGAGGAAUAAGCCUCGGCUAACUACGUGCCAGCAGCCGCGGUAAUACGUAGGAGGCGAGCGUUGUCCGGAUUUACUGGGCGUAAAGGGCGCGUAGGCGGCUUGGUGUGUCUUGUGUGAAAUCUCCCGGCUCAACUGGGAGGGGUCAUGAGAAACUGCCAGGCUUGAGGUCAGCAGAGGAAGAUGGAAUUCCCGGAGUAGUGGUGAUAUGCGUAGAUACCGGGAGGAACACCAGUGGCGAAGGCGGUCUUCUGGGCUGUACCUGACGCUGAGGCGCGAAAGCGUGGGGAGCAAACCGG